AGGAAUCUGCCUGGUARUGGGGGACAACGUCUCGAAAGGGACGCUAAUACCGCAUACGUCCUACGGGRGAAAGSAGGGGACCUUCGGGCCUUGCGCUAUCAGAUGAGCCUAGGUCGGAUUAGCUUGUUGGUGAGGUAAUGGCUCACCAAGGCUGCGAUCCGUAACUGGUCUGAGAGGAUGAUCAGUCACCCUGGAACUGAGACACGGUCCAGACUCCUACGGGAGGCAGCAGUGGGGAAUAUUGGACAAUGGGCGAAAGCCUGAUCCAGCCAUGCCGCGUGUGUGAAGAAAGUCUUCGGAUUGUAAAGCACUUUAAGUUGGGAGGAAGGGCAGUAAGCUAAUACCUUGCUGUUUUGACGUUACCAACAKAAUAAGCACCGGCUAACUUCGUGCCAGCAGCCGCGGUAAUACGAAGGGUGCAAGCGUUAAUCGGAAUUACUGGGCGUAAAGCGCGCGUAGGUGGUUUGUUAAGUUG
rnacentral:rRNA from 2 species